rnacentral:lncRNA from 1 species
UCAAUUCAGGUUCCAACGAAGUUUGUUCUGAAAUGGGGUUGUUGGUGUAUUGUAUAGUUCUAGGGAUUGUAUUUCACUCAAAACCCACCAAAUGACUCCUCCCAAAAUAUUAUCGUGUUCCCCAAGUUUUGGACUCAAUCCGAUAUCGAUUGGUCCUUGAAAUCGGACAAUUCAGGUUCGUACGAAGUUCGUUCUGAAAUGGGGUUGUUGGUGUAUUGUAUAGUUCUUGGGAUUGUAUUUCACUCAAAACCCACCAAAUGACUCCUCCCAAAAUAUUAUGAUGUGGGGCAAGUUUUCGACUCACUCCGAGGUCGAUUGGUCCUUGAAAUCGGACAAUUCAGGUUCCUACGAAGUUCGUUCUGAAAUGAGGUGGUUGGUGUAUUGUAUAGUUCUAGAGAUUGGAUUUCACUCAAAACCCACCAAAUGACUCCUCCCACAAUAUUAUGAUGUUCCCCAAGUUUUGGACUCAAUCUGAUAUCAAUUGGUCCUUGAAAUCUGAUAUCGAUUGGUUCUUGAAAUCGGACAAUUCAGGUUCGUACGAAGUUCGUUCUGAAAUGGGGUGGUUGGUGUAUUGUAUAGUUCUAGAGAUUGGAUUUCAAUCAAAACCCGCCAAAGGACUCCUCCCAAAAUAUUAUGUUGUUCCCUAAGUUUUGGACUCAAUCCGAUAUGGAUUGGUCCUUGAAAUCGGACAAUUCAGGUUCGUACGAAGUUCGUUCUGAAAUGGGGUGGUUGGUGUAUUGUAUAGUUCUAGGGAUUGUAUUUCACUGAACACCCACCAAAUGACUCAUCCCAGAAUAUUAUGAUGUUCCCCAAGUUUUGGACUCAAUCCGAUAUCGAUCGGUACACGAAAUUUGAGAAUUCAGGUUCGUACGAAGUUCGUUCUAAAAUGGAGUGGUUGGUGUAUUGUAUAGUUCUAGGGAUUGUAUUUCACUCAAAACCCACCAAAUGACUCCUCCCACAAUAUUAUGAUGUUCCCCAAGUUUUGGACUCAAUCCGAUAUCGAUUGGUCCUUGAAAUCGGACAAUUCAGGUUCAUACGAAGUUCGUUCUGAAAUGGGGUGGUUGGUGUAUUGUAUAGUUCUAGAGAUCGUAUUUCACUCAAAACCCACCAAAUGACUCCUCCCACAAUAUUAUGACGUUCCCCAAGUUUUGGACUCAAUCCGUUAUCGAUUGGUCCUUGAAAUCGGACAAUUCAGGUUCGUACGAAGUUCGUUCUGAAAUGGGGUGGUUGGUGUAUUGUAUAGUUCUAGAGAUUGGAUUUCAAUCAAAACCCACCAAAUGACUCCUCCCACAAUAUUAUGAUGUUCCCCAAGUUUUGGACUCAAUCCGAUAUCGAUUGGUCCUAGAAAUCGGACAAUUCAGGUUCGUACGAAGUUUGUUCUGAAAUGGGGUGGUUGGUGUAUUGUAUAGUUCUAGAGAUCGGAUUUCUCUCAAAACCCACCAAAUGACUCCUCCCACAAUAUUAUGAUGUUCCCCAAGUUUUGGACUCAAUCCGAUAUCGAUUGGUCCUAGAAAUCGGACAAUUCAGGUUCGUACGAAGUUUGUUCUGAAAUGGGGUGGUUGGUGUAUUGUAUAGUUCUAGAGAUCGGAUUUCACUCAAAACCCUCCAAAUGACUCCUCCCACAAGAUUAUGAUGUUCCCCAAGUUAUGGACUCAAUCCGAUAUCGAUUGGUCCUUGAAAU